UACAGGGGGGGCGAGCGUUGUUCGGAAUUACUGGGCGUAAAGGGCUCGUAGGUGGCCAACUAAGUCAGACGUGAAAUCCCUCAGCUUAACUGGGGAACUGCGUCUGAUACUGGAUGGCUUGAGUUUGGGAGAGGGAUGCGGAAUUCCAGGUGUAGCGGUGAAAUGCGUAGAUAUCUGGAGGAACACCGGUGGCGAAGGCGGCAUCCUGGACCAAUACUGACACUGAGGAGCGAAAGCCAGGGAGCAAACGGG
rnacentral:rRNA from 1 species